UAAACUCCUGUUGUUGAGGAAGAUAAUGACGGUACUCAACAAGGAAGUGACGGCUAACUACGUGCCAGCAGCCGCGGUAAAACGUAGGUCACAAGCGUUGUCCGGAAUUACUGGGUGUAAAGGGAGCGCAGGCGGGCGAUCAAGUUGGAAGUGAAAUCCAUGGGCUCAACCCAUGAACUGCUUUCAAAACUGAUUGUCUUGAGUAGUGCAGAGGUAGGCGGAAUUCCCGGUGUAGCGGUGGAAUGCGUAGAUAUCGGGAGGAACACCAGUGGCGAAGGCGGCCUACUGGGCACCAACUGACGCUGAGGCUCGAAAGUGUGGGUAGCAAACAGGAUUAGAUACCCUGGUAGUCCACACCGUAAACGAUGAUUACUAGGUGUUGGAGGAUUGACCCCUUCAGUGCCGCAGUUAACACAAUAAGUAAUCCACCUGGGGAGUACGACCGCAAGGUUGAAACUCAAAGGAAUUGACGGGGGCCCGCACAAGCAGUGGAGUAUGUGGUUUAAUUCGACGCAACGCGAAGAACCUUACCAAGUCUUGACAUCCUGCGACGAUGCUAGAAAUAGUAUUUUCCUUCGGGACGCAUAGACAGGUGGUGCAUGGUUGUCGUCAGCUCGUGUCGUGAGAUGUUGGGUUAAGUCCCGCAACGAGCGCAACCCUUAUGGUCAGUUACUACGCAAGAGGACUCUGGCCAGACUGCCGUUGACAAA
rnacentral:rRNA from 1 species